CAUACUGCAUGUCCUUGGGGCUUCCUUCCCUUCAGCAGGUCUGUGCCAUCAGACUGUCACACUGCAGCACGCGGGGCACAGGCUUGCUUCCUGCAGUGCCCCAUGACUGAGCUGCAGAGAGGACUUUUGCCGCUACUGAAUACAGUGUCUUCUUGCCAUCAGGUUCUCCUGUACCAUUGAGUCAUUCCUGAGUCACUCGUCCUCUUGCCAGGAAGAGCCAGUUUUCUCUCAGGGAAUACAGCAACCUUCCUGGCUGAUAGAAAGAGACCAGCUGAAAAGUCACAAGACCAAGGUCAAAAUUGAAAUUUACUGUUUGUCUACAUUCCUGUGGAAACAUAAGGGAUGUUCAAGAAGCCAGCCAUACUCCUUAAGAGACAAGGGUCACUACUGGACCAUUACCAAACAUCUACAUGCUGUUCCCUGUGUGAUAUUUGGGGCUGUCCUGUGCAAGGUCAGGAGCUGCACUCAAUGAUCCUUGUUCAGCAUGCUACCUCUGUUACUCCAGACAGUAAAAGUAGCCUCUGCUCAAGGAACAUGCUGCUGCUGUAGCAGGGAGCCCUGAACUGGGAUCAUCCUUUUGAAUAAAGACCUGUGUGUGAGCAGCAAGGGUAUGACUUCAGAGUAAGAUGGUUUCUAACAAUCAGACUUCAGACACUGUUGAAAGAAAAAACCAAAAAUAUUAGACAGCUAAAUUUUAAGGCAAAGGUGAGACUGUACUUUGAAGCAUAUGUCCUCCACAAAGUACUUGCACUAAGCCAUUUAUGCAGUCGUGUUAGAAAAAGAUGGUAACGUAUCUUGGAUUUUAGUGCCUUAAUGAAGGAUGCCAUGAAUCAAUUAUAAACCAAUCAUUUUCCAAUUUAUUGGGUUUUUUCAGAUGAUGACAGUAAAAAUAAAGUGAAAGAAAGGAAAGUACAAACAAAAGCUGGUGAUAAACAGGUUAUGGAAUGUGAAAAUAUGAAGCAAAGCUGUGCUUCCUCCUGCUUGGGAAACUGAUACAAAACAGCAAACAGAGGAAACAGAGGCAUCACAUCUUUAGCAAAUAGAACAUUACAUAUUUAUGAGUAAAGCUGAAGAAAACAUAUGCAUAUUCAUCUAAUUAUCUAUUCAAAUACUUGUCCAUUUUCUAAGUUAACAUGUUCAGUUUUCUUUCUCAAGGUCUUGAAGAAGCUUUUCCCAUUAUAAUUUCAAGUGUGGUUUUACAACAAUAAUGAGGAACCACUUUUCUGCAAUAUUGAAUCACGAAGGAUCACUGGAGAAUUAAGGGAUAAAACAGGCUAGUUUAGAGAAUCUGUCAAAGAAGAGAUGAGAUCUUCCCUAGAGAUACUUCUUCUCUUACACUCUGAAACAAACUCUUAUUUAUGUAGUGCAGGAUUUUAAACAUCUUUCCCUAACCAUAAAGAAAGAUGUUCUGAUGAUGACAGCCAAAAGACCUCCUGAAAGUGAUAUGGCACUCCAGGCUUAAGUGGUGUUAUAAAUAACAGCAUUGCAAAUAAGUGGCUGGUUUAGGACUGGUGCUGCUCAGUUUAGUGUCCCCACUGAGACUCUGCUCCCCUGCUUUCUCCUCCCACUCUCCUCUGCAGUGGGAUGGAGAGGAGAAUUGGGGGCACAAAAGACAAAGAUAAUGGGCUGAGAUAACAACAAUUUACUGGAAACAAAAAUGAGGUAAGACAAUGAACAGCAACAGCAAUGAUACCAAUGACAGAGGGUACUAGAAAGAAGCAAUUCACAUGGAAUAUUCCCCCCACCCCCCCGACCAAUAGACAAAACCAGAUGAUUCUCUCUGCCAGAUUUGACUAGACCAGAGCCCCUUCUCCCCAGAGGAGAGUCCCAAGAGAGUCCCUUUUCCCUACCCCAGGUAGUGAUGUGAGGAGGUAUAGAAUGACCUCUGGGUCCUUGCCACUGCAAAAAAAUUAACUGUCCUGACCAGCACCAGGAUAGUAGUUAAAUAAAAACUCAGCUAAAGUUUAUCAGAGUUCAUGCACUUCAGUAAAGUGAGAUAACAGUGUCCAGUGUCUGCCACAGAUUUUAGCUCAGUUAGUGGUUCCACUUGUAAGCCAUUAAAAAUCUGCUUUUACAGUAUUUUAUAUUUAAACUAAGCCAAGCCAGCAGUGCCACAACAAAGUGCACCUGAGAGUGAUGAACUCACUUUGAUGGAUGUCUCAAAGCCACCACAAUCUGCAUGUAAGGUACAACUGCAAGGUUCAGCUGCUGAUCAGACAGCUGUCUCUUUCACAUCCCAAUCUGCGAAUUCAUCUUCAAUUCCAAGUCCCAGAACAGAGGAGAGAAAGGCGACAUACAGAUUCAACUAACAGAAAAAACUUUGGAAGGAAGCUGAACACAUCACUGAUUGUUCCUGCUUCCUAGGGCAGGGCAGGCAUCUGGUACAUGAGGUGCUUCCUCAGAGCCUUUCCCUAGGGUAUUCUCAGUGACCUCCUGGUACUUGCAGCCAUUCCCCAACCAGUCUAUUCCAGCACUUUGCUAUCAUUUUGAAGCAAAAGAAAAGAAGGGAAAAAAUGUAGAAUGUCUGAGUCCCUAUAAAGAACAGUUGUUAGUUUUAUACAGUUUCAUAUAUUGUUACUGUCGGAGGAUAAAUCACACUAACACAGUCUAAAUUGUCAGAGUAUCACAGUCUAAGCUAGAAAACAUAAUAUUUUCUUUCCAAACAAAGAAAAAUGCUAGAUCCUGAGGUGUUUCUGGCAUAUAGGCAAACAUUAUCUCAUGGGUCAACACAAGUCUGUUGUAGAAAAGAAAACCAAUUUCUGUAAUAGUUAUGGCUCUCUUGUCCCGAGCCAUGUCAAAGUGGUUCUGAGUCAGAGAAAUGCUUAUGCCCAUGAAGGAAGCUCCACACAGUCUUUUUGUUCACAAAAAGAUGAAAGAAGCUAAGGCUGAUCUGAGCAGAUGCCCUACUCUGAAGAAAAGGGGGUUAUUCUUAAUAAAUAGCAAAAUACUGGAAGAGCAAGACAGAAGAAUUAUUGCAAAGUGGUGAGAAAAAGGGUAACACAGGACAGGAGAGAACCACCUGGGAUAUGGCAGAUCUAAUUUCACACUAACAGGGCCAACAACUUUGUAUAAAUGAGAGUAUGAAUAUGCUGUGUUCUGUCUUUGUUUCCCUGAUUAUCUUUAGCUAUAGGCAGCAUGAAUUAUGCAGGCCCCCAGCCAGGCUGUGCAUUUACAGUUACAAAAUAAAAGCCAAGUCAAAAAGCUUG